rnacentral:lncRNA from 1 species
UGCCUAGUCCCUACCACUCUUCUGCCUUAGAACCAAUACACAGUACUGCUUCUAUGACAGAAGAUAAAGGUUUUUUUUUUUAAAGGAAAACAUUCCUUAUGAUUACCAAGGACAAAGAAAAUUCAGAAAGCAGUAGACUAGAUGGUAUCUCUUAUCCAGAUUCCAGACAAAGGAGUGUCAACCCUCUAGAAGACUUUGUCCUCUUUGGUAAAGUGAUCAGUGACUUUAGCUC